AAAGCUCAGCCACUGGCAUGCGAGCAAGCGUUGCUGAAUACACUUGACAAGCUAUGUGGUACCACACAGCCCUGGAGUGGAAGGUAUAAUUACAGCAGAACAACACAAGAACUGGAACAAAGGCGCAGGGAACAGCUCGCUAGACGGCAGCUAAGUUGCCUGCCAUACCAAUGUGAGGAAUGUGGCAGCAACUGGACAAGCGAAAGGAUAUUGUUUUAGGACACCGAGCCGGCGCCCCACAACACGGAUGGGAACACCACCAGCUCAAUUUAAAACUCUCUAUUCUUGCAUUUGAUUGUGAACGAUGUGUAUGUACUGUUAAAGAGUAGUAGCUAAGUUCCAAGCCUGGAAGUGUUUUUUACUAUCAUUGUAUUUAUACAAACGCAGGAUGGCACGAGUGAAAGUGGUCCGACGUUGCCAGCUAGCUCGUAGAAGUAAUAAUCAAACACAUGGCAUGAAAUUCCAUU